rnacentral:tRNA from 1 species
UCCGUCAUAGUCUAGGUGGUUAGGAUACUCGGCUCUCACCCGAGAGACCCAGGUUCAAGUCCCGGCGACCGUU